rnacentral:tRNA from 1 species
GGAGAGAUGGCUGAGGGGACUAAAGCGUCGGAUUGCUAAUCCGUUGUACGAAUUAUUCGUACCGAGGGUUCGAAUCCCUCUCUCUCCGACCCCCC